GGAGGGGGCAAGCGUUGUUCGGAGUCAUUGGGCGUAAAGGGCGCGUAGGCGGCCGCUCAAGUCGGAUGUGAAAUCCCUCGGCUUAACCGAGGAACUGCAUUCGAUACUGGGUGGCUAGAGUCCGGGAAGGGGUAGUGGAAUUCCCAGUGUAGCGGUGAAAUGCGUAGAUAUUGGGAAGAACACCGGUGGCGAAGGCGGCUACCUGGACCGGUACUGACGCUGAGGCGCGAAAGCCAGGGGAGCGAAUGGGAUUAGAUACCCCGGUAGUCCUGGCUGUAAACGAUGGGCACUUGGUGUGGCGGGUUCUGACCCCCGCCGUGCCGAAGCUAACGCGUUAAGUGCCCCGCCUGGGGAGUACGGUCGCAAGGCUG
rnacentral:rRNA from 1 species